rnacentral:rRNA from 1 species
GACGAACGCUGGCGGCGUGCUUAACACAUGCAAGUCGAACGGCAAGGCCCUGCUUUUGUGGGGUGCUCGAGUGGCGAACGGGUGAGUAACACGUGAGUAACCUGCCCUUGACUUUGGUAUAACUUCAGGAAACUGGGGCUAAUACCGGAUAGGAGCUCCUGCUGCAUGGUGGGGGUUGGAACGUUUCGGCGGUUGGGGAUGGACUCGCGGCUUAUCAGCUUGUUGGUGGGGUAGUGGCUUACCAAGGGUUUGACGGGUAGGCGGCCUGAGAGGGUGACCGGCGACAUGGGGACUGAGAGACGGCGCAGAGGGCUACGGGAGGCAGCAGGGGGGAAUAUUGCACAAUGGGCGGAAGCCUGAUGCAGAAACGCCGCGGGCGGGAUGACGGCCUUCGGGGAGUAAACCGCUGUCGCCUGUGACGAAGCGGGAGUGACGGUAAUGGGUAAAGAAGCACCGGCUAACUACGUG